UGUGUGUGUAUAUAAGGUGAGGUGCUUAACCUUUUCUUUACCAACCCGCCUGAAAGCAGCUCUGGCUCUGUAGUACAAAUGUCUUGUUUCCAUAAGUUUUGAAUUAAAAUCUUCCACCAAAACUUAGUCAAAAUUUAUGUUCCUAACACUAGCUGAAUGAUAACUAAGUUAUUUUGCUAAA